GGCAGAGACAGGCUGUUGGUACCACUGGGCAGCUGAGGCGCUCAGGCUCCAGGGAGGGGAAACCUGAGCUGUGAGAGAGACCAUCAGAGGACCAGGGGAGCCAUCACUCAUGCCCCGUUUGUUCCAUUCGGGAAUUACUUCUUGCCUAUGAACUCCUAAAGAUCCUCCAGACUACUAGGCCCACCUGUGUGCUCUCAAGCAGUUUUCUGGAGUUGAAAUUAUCUCUGUUAGCCAGCCGUAUCACAUGAACAGCAUCAGCAGCCACAGCAUCAGGAGGUUUGAUUCCUGCUGAUCCUGUGCACUUAGCUAUAACUUUAUCGAUACACUUCUUGUGGAUUGCCGCAUUACACUCUGGAAAGAAAUGAUUGCCGCUUAAGAUUUUCAGAAGUGAAGGAACAAUUAAAUACAAAGAAUGACAGUAAUACAACAGAGACCCUUCUUACUUACGUCGACACUGGUAGCCUUGUUUGUUCAGACCCCUGCAAUAAAGCAGAUGUUUGAUUUAUUUGGAUGUUCGAGUCAACAGCAUCACAAACAUUAAAAGGUAAGCAAGAUCUCAUAGCUUCCUACUAUCAGAGCAUUUACUGAUCAGCAGCCCUGGUCUAUCACUGGCCAAGAGUGUUAAUAUAUUUGUUUGUUUGUUUGUUUUUUAACGUUUAUUUAUUUUUGAGACAGAGAGAGACACAGCAUGAACGGGGGAGGGGCAGAGAGAGAGGGGAACACAGAAUCGGAAGCAGGCUCCAGGCUCUGAGCCAUCAGCCCAGAGCCCAACGCGGGGCUCAAACCCGCGGACCGCGAGAUCGUGACCUGAGCCGAAGUCGGACGCCCAACCGACUGAGCCACCCAGGCGCCCCUGUUUGUUUGUUUUUUAAGCUGCUUUGUUAAAAGUCUGAUAGUUAAAUAAACGAGGAGCUUUUGUUUUCCCCCUCACUUGUGAAUUUUCCAAACCAACACGUAGAGAUGAAAAUGACUGACUGAAAAUGCAUC